UAGUAAUCAAAUUCUGCCUACUCUCGACCUCAUUUCUCCCCAUUAAUGGCCAGAGUAGUAUGCUCAAAUCUUAUUUCUUCAGUUUCAUCAUUUUAACUGACACCUUCACUACGGUUCUAAUAACCAAAUCUUUCAAAUUUUUCGAAGAUAUUUAGAGCGGUGGAUGAUUUUCAUGCUAAUAUGGUUUUCAGCAGUGGCGAAGUGGGAGUGUUGAUGCUGUUUAUGGUGGUUUGGGGCCUCAACGAUUUUCAGUAGGGGCGACGUCGAGGUGUGGUCGUGGUAUUGCGUCGGGGUGUGGUGGUGUUGAUACUACUUGUGGUGGUGGUAGUGACGGUUUAAGACUACUGUGGUUUUCAACAGUGGUGGCAUCGAGGUGUGGUGGUGGUGUUGAUGCUCCUUGUGAUGGUGGUAGUGGUGGUUUUGGUGUUGGGGGUUUUAAAUUAUUUUUGUUGGUUGUGCAGUAGAUGUGCUGGCAUGAGUAUAACUGAAGAAGAAAAGACCCAAUAUUUUUGAAGGUUUCGAUGAGCAUAUAAUUCAUUUCAGUAGAGAAAGUGGGGUCAAUGAGGGGUAAGGAACAGUGAAAAACAGCUAACGUGUGUUGGGGGAAGUCGUGGUUGGACUAAACCAGCAAAUUAAAGUGUUAUUUCUUUCCUAGUAUUAGAUAUACCUAAGUGUGCAUGGAUAUGAGUAUUAGUUGUGAAGUGUGUGUAAGGAUGGUGGCUUGGCCUUUUAACCCACGAGCUCAGCUCGGCUCGGGCUCGAGGCGAGCCGAGCUCAUGGCUCAUGAAAAAUGAUGCUCGGAACUCGAGGGCGAGCUUAGAUUGGCCCACGAGCUUGCGAGCCUAGCCAAGACCAUGAGCUCGUGAACUUUGUGUACCCAUGAGCCACUUGCGGGCUUGACGAGCCGAGUAGGCUCGACUCCUGGAAUUGAGGUGACGAGCCCGAGCUACCCAUGAGUCGAGCGGCCUAGUCGACGAGUCGCUCGAUUCGUUUGACAUCCCUAAGUGUGUGUGACUAGAGUAAAUGCAUGAAUCUUGACAUGGAU
rnacentral:lncRNA from 1 species